rnacentral:rRNA from 1 species
GGGUUGUGAGGUUAAGCGACUAAGCGUACACGGUGGAUGCCCUGGCAGUCAGAGGCGAUGAAGGACGUGCUAAUCUGCGAUAAGCGUCGGUAAGGUGAUAUGAACCGUUAUAACCGGCGAUUUCCGAAUGGGGAAACCCAGUGUGAUUCGUCACACUAUCAUUAACUGAAUCCAUAGGUUAAUGAGGCGAACCGGGGGAACUGAAACAUCUAAGUACCCCGAGGAAAAGAAAUCAACCGAGAUUCCCCCAGUAGCGGCGAGCGAACGGGGAGCAGCCCAGAGCCUGAAUCAGUGUGUGUGUUAGUGGAAGCGUCUGGAAAGGCGCGCGAUACAGGGUGACAGCCCCGUACACAAAAAUGCACAUACUGUGAGCUCGAUGAGUAGGGCGGGACACGUGGUAUCCUGUCUGAAUAUGGGGGGACCAUCCUCCAAGGCUAAAUACUCCUGACUGACCGAUAGUGAACCAGUACCGUGAGGGAAAGGCGAAAAGAACCCCGGCGAGGGGAGUGAAAAAGAACCUGAAACCGUGUACGUACAAGCAGUGGGAGCCUCUUUUAUGGGGUGACUGCGUACCUUUUGUAUAAUGGGUCAGCGACUUAUAUUCUGUAGCAAGGUUAACCGAAUAGGGGAGCCGAAGGGAAACCGAGUCUUAACCGGGCGUUAAGUUGCAGGGUAUAGACCCGAAACCCGGUGAUCUAGCCAUGGGCAGGUUGAAGGUUGGGUAACACUAACUGGAGGACCGAACCGACUAAUGUUGAAAAAUUAGCGGAUGACUUGUGGCUGGGGGUGAAAGGCCAAUCAAACCGGGAGAUAGCUGGUUCUCCCCGAAAGCUAUUUAGGUAGCGCCUCGUGAAUUCAUCUCCGGGGGUAGAGCACUGUUUCGGCAAGGGGGUCAUCCCGACUUACCAACCCGAUGCAAACUGCGAAUACCGGAGAAUGUUAUCACGGGAGACACACGGCGGGUGCUAACGUCCGUCGUGAAGAGGGAAACAACCCAGACCGCCAGCUAAGGUCCCAAAGUCAUGGUUAAGUGGGAAACGAUGUGGGAAGGCCCAGACAGCCAGGAUGUUGGCUUAGAAGCAGCCAUCAUUUAAAGAAAGCGUAAUAGCUCACUGGUCGAGUCGGCCUGCGCGGAAGAUGUAACGGGGCUAAACCAUGCACCGAAGCUGCGGCAGCGACACUGUGUGUUGUUGGGUAGGGGAGCGUUCUGUAAGCCUGUGAAGGUGUACUGUAAGGUAUGCUGGAGGUAUCAGAAGUGCGAAUGCUGACAUAAGUAACGAUAAAGCGGGUGAAAAGCCCGCUCGCCGGAAGACCAAGGGUUCCUGUCCAACGUUAAUCGGGGCAGGGUGAGUCGACCCCUAAGGCGAGGCCGAAAGGCGUAGUCGAUGGGAAACAGGUUAAUAUUCCUGUACUUGGUGUUACUGCGAAGGGGGGACGGAGAAGGCUAUGUUGGCCGGGCGACGGUUGUCCCGGUUUAAGCGUGUAGGCUGGUUUUCCAGGCAAAUCCGGAAAAUCAAGGCUGAGGCGUGAUGACGAGGCACUACGGUGCUGAAGCAACAAAUGCCCUGCUUCCAGGAAAAGCCUCUAAGCAUCAGGUAACAUCAAAUCGUACCCCAAACCGACACAGGUGGUCAGGUAGAGAAUACCAAGGCGCUUGAGAGAACUCGGGUGAAGGAACUAGGCAAAAUGGUGCCGUAACUUCGGGAGAAGGCACGCUGAUAUGUAGGUGAAGUCCCUCGCGGAUGGAGCUGAAAUCAGUCGAAGAUACCAGCUGGCUGCAACUGUUUAUUAAAAACACAGCACUGUGCAAACACGAAAGUGGACGUAUACGGUGUGACGCCUGCCCGGUGCCGGAAGGUUAAUUGAUGGGGUCAGCGCAAGCGAAGCUCUUGAUCGAAGCCCCGGUAAACGGCGGCCGUAACUAUAACGGUCCUAAGGUAGCGAAAUUCCUUGUCGGGUAAGUUCCGACCUGCACGAAUGGCGUAAUGAUGGCCAGGCUGUCUCCACCCGAGACUCAGUGAAAUUGAACUCGCUGUGAAGAUGCAGUGUACCCGCGGCAAGACGGAAAGACCCCGUGAACCUUUACUAUAGCUUGACGCUGAACAUUGAGCCUUGAUGUGUAGGAUAGGUGGGAGGCUUUGAAGUGUGGACGCCAGUCUGCAUGGAGCCGACCUUGAAAUACCACCCUUUAAUGUUUGAUGUUCUAACGUGGACCCGUGAUCCGGGUUGCGGACAGUGUCUGGUGGGUAGUUUGACUGGGGCGGUCUCCUCCUAAAGAGUAACGGAGGAGCACGAAGGUUGGCUAAUCCUGGUCGGACAUCAGGAGGUUAGUGCAAUGGCAUAAGCCAGCUUGACUGCGAGCGUGACGGCGCGAGCAGGUGCGAAAGCAGGUCAUAGUGAUCCGGUGGUUCUGAAUGGAAGGGCCAUCGCUCAACGGAUAAAAGGUACUCCGGGGAUAACAGGCUGAUACCGCCCAAGAGUUCAUAUCGACGGCGGUGUUUGGCACCUCGAUGUCGGCUCAUCACAUCCUGGGGCUGAAGUAGGUCCCAAGGGUAUGGCUGUUCGCCAUUUAAAGUGGUACGCGAGCUGGGUUUAGAACGUCGUGAGACAGUUCGGUCCCUAUCUGCCGUGGGCGCUGGAGAACUGAGGGGGGCUGCUCCUAGUACGAGAGGACCGGAGUGGACGCAUCACUGGUGUUCGGGUUGUCAUGCCAAUGGCACUGCCCGGUAGCUAAAUGCGGAAGAGAUAAGUGCUGAAAGCAUCUAAGCACGAAACUUGCCCCGAGAUGAGUUCUCCCUGACCCUUUAAGGGUCCUGAAGGAACGUUGAAGACGACGACGUUGAUAGGCCGGGUGUGUAAGCGCAGCGAUGCGUUGAGCUAACCGGUACUAAUGAACCGUGAGGCUUAACCUUACAACGCCGAAGGUGUUU